rnacentral:rRNA from 1 species
ACUUUACAAUGCGAGAAAUCGUGAUAAGGGAACCCCGAGUGCCCGUAAAUUCGGGCUGUCCAUCAGUGUAAAUAACUGGUGAAGAAAGGGCCGGGCAAGACCGGUGCCAGCCGCCGCGGUAAUACCGGCGGCUCGAGUGGUGGCCACUAUUACUGGGCUUAAAGCGUACGUAGCUGGAUUGUUAAGUCUCUUGGGAAAUCCACCGGCUCAACCGAUGGGCGUUCAGGAGAAACUGGCAAUCUAGGGACCGGGAGAGGUGAGAGGUACUCCAGUGGUAGGAGUGAAAUCCUGUAAUCCUUGGGGGACCAACUGUGGCGAAGGCGUCUCACUAGAACGGCUCCGACAGUGAGGGACGAAAGCUGGGGGAGCAAACCGG